rnacentral:rRNA from 1 species
GACGAACGCUGGCGGCGUGCUUAACACAUGCAAGUCGAACGGAAAGGCCCUGCUUUUGUGGGGUGCUCGAGUGGCGAACGGGUGAGUAACACGUGAGUAACCUGCCCUUGACUUUGGGAUAACUUCAGGAAACUGGGGCGAAUACCGGAUAGGAGCUCCUGCUGCAUGGUGGGGGUUGGAAAGUUUCGGCGGUUGGGGAUGGACUGGCGGCUUAUCAGCUUGUUGGUGGGGUAGUGGCUUACCAAGGCUUUGACGGGUAGCCGGCCUGAGAGGGUGACCGGCCACCAUGGGACUGCGAUACGGACCAGACUCGUACGGGAGGCAGCAGUGGGGAAUAUUGCACAAUGGGCGGAAGCCUGAUGCAGCAACGCCGCGUGCGGGAUGACGGCCUUCGGGUUGUAAACCGCUUUCGCCUGUGACGAAGCGUGAGUGACGGUAAUGGGUAAAGAAGCACCGGCUAACUACGUG